rnacentral:piRNA from 1 species
AGGCUUAUUUAAGGACUUUAAAA